GGGUCCCUAGCUCAGCGGUUAGAGCGGCCGGCUCAUAACCGGUUGGUCCUCAGUUCGAAUCUGGGGGGACCCA
rnacentral:tRNA from 1 species